rnacentral:misc_RNA from 1 species
GACUUCAUUGUUCCUCUCACCACAAUGUAGACAUUCAAAGGCUGACAACAAGAUCUUUCUGAAGUGCGGAAUUAAAGUUAAUAAAAAUCUUGUUGUCCCGUUUUCGCCGCAACGCAUGCAGAGGCUUUCUACUUCGUAGCUAGGAACAUCGGCGUCUUCGUUUGCAACUACUGCUUCGACAACCGACUGCACGUCCAAGACUUGCUCUGCAUCUUUUGCGGCCAUUGCUAUCAACCGGAUGGAUUCCUUCACUUCUAU